GAUGAACGCUGGCGGCGUGCCUAAUACAUGCAAGUCGAGCGAACAGAUGAGGAGCUUGCUCCUCUGACGUUAGCGGCGGACGGGUGAGUAACACGUGGAUAACCUACCUAUAAGACUGGGAUAACUUCGGGAAACCGGAGCUAAUACCGGAUAAUAUAUUGAACCGCAUGGUUCAAUAGUGAAAGACGGUUUUGCUGUCACUUAUAGAUGGAUCCGCGCCGCAUUAGCUAGUUGGUAAGGUAACGGCUUACCAAGGCAACGAUGCGUAGCCGACCUGAGAGGGUGAUCGGCCACACUGGAACUGAGACACGGUCCAGACUCCUACGGGAGGCAGCAGUAGGGAAUCUUCCGCAAUGGGCGAAAGCCUGACGGAGCAACGCCGCGGGAGUGAUGAAGGUCUUCGGAUCGUAAAACUCUGUUAUUAGGGAAGAACAAAUGUGUAAGUAACGAUGCACGUCUGGACGGUACCUAAUCAGAAAGCCACGGCUAACUACGU
rnacentral:rRNA from 1 species